rnacentral:tRNA from 1 species
GGCCGAGUACCCAAGCGGUCUACGGGAGCGGAUUGCAAAUCCGUAAUUCGCGGGUUCGAAUCCCGCCUCGGCCU